UCUCUGCAUUAAAUCUGUCCCAGUUCCACAUGUUAGGCCUGAGGAGCGGUUUCUGGUCGGCCAUGUCGGUCCAAGAGAAUAUAGGCUCUACAGGUGCAUUGUGCGGUAUGGAUACCGUGAUUUCCACAAAGAUGACAUGGAGUUUGAGAAGGAUCUUGUAUGUAGCAUAGCAGAGUAUAUACGCUCAGGAAAAAUGGAACCUAAAGGUGCAAAUGAUGAUGUGGGGAAGGAAGAUGAUAAAAUGACGGUAGUUGGGACGUGUUCAACACAUACAGAUGGAAUCCAAUUGAGUGAGGAUGAUGGUGAUAUCAAAGAGUCAGCCAGCACAUCAGAGUUGAGAGAGAUAAGAUCACCGCCAGUGAUCCACCAUAGGAAAAGAGUGAGAUUUAUCAUACCAGAAAGCCCGCAGAUUGACCAAGGCACUAGGGAAGAAUUGCAGGAACUAAUGGAAGCCAGGGAAGCUGGGAUUGCUUACAUAUUAGGGCACUCAUAUAUGAGAGCCAAGCAAGGAUCAAGCAUGCUGAAGAAGCUUGUAAUUAAUUAUGGGUAUGAAUUCCUAAGGAGGAACAGUAGGGCACAGGCCUAUGCUCUAAAUGUACCACAUGCAUCUACACUAGAGGUAGGAAUGAUCUACCGUGUUUAGUUUUGGUUAUACAGGAUAUACUUUGUCAUGUACAUUUUGUAUUACUGUGAAAUAGAUCAAUCACCACCUUUAGUUUUUUAGGUGGAUUAUAGAGCGAUGAUAGGC
rnacentral:misc_RNA from 1 species